UUUUACUUAAAUGUCUUUCGUUACAUUGUGCAUGCAUGUGAAAAUUGUGUGAGAACUGCGCAUAGAGACAUGCAAGAGGAAUCCAUGUAGAAGAAUUUUUGACUAAUUUUGCAAUUUUUUAGUUCAAAUGCUUAAACCCAUGAACCUCUUUUUUGGCACCAUUUCAAAGCAUUCCAAAGGUGAAGGUUAUCUGUACCAUUUCAAAGCAUUCUAGAGAGCUUGUUUCGUUGAGCUUUUUUCCCUUGUCUAGAGAGUUUGCAUGUGAUUUCUUGAGCCCAUUUUAACUGUGUUGUUUAUGAGAGAGGGGUUUUGUGGUUGACAUCAAAAUAAUGUUUAUGGAAAACAUAGAAACUUGGAUACAAAAGGUUAGUGAAAUCGAUUAGCAUGCAACAUAAAGAUAAGGAAUAAUCGAUUAUGUAUUUUGUUUAAAUUGAUAAUGAUUACCAUGAACCUUAUAUAGAAGAUAGAAUUAAGGGGUAUUUAAAGUUUAGAAUUGAUUUUGCGGUGUGUUGUAGUGCAUGCAAACACACCCUCAAAUUUUCACACAUUUCCUCCACAAUCCAAACACACACUAAAUAUCACUAGUAUCAAUAGAAAAGACGAUGUUAAUGUUUUUAUCUUUAUAAAAAACCGAGAUAUCUUGAACAAAACUAACCUAACAUAUCUCAAUUGAUAUUGAAUUAAAGAAGAAAAUAUAAAGAAAUUAAAUGUAAAUUUGAAAAAGGAUAAAAAAUUCUUAUUUUGUAGAUAUAAUUUAAAAUAAUUCAAUGUAAAUAUUUAAAUUAAUCUAAAAUAUUCUAUUAAAAUUAUAUAUUUUAUCAGAAAAUAUUUCAAAUUCUUUAUAAAAGUGUGCUCUUUAAUUAAUUCACAAUCCAGCCAUGGUCAUAUUGUUUCGAUUUUUUGUAUUGUACUUUUAUUUAACUGUUCAAAUACUUUUAAUUUGAUUUCUACAAAAAUAAAAUACAAUUAUAAUAAUUCGUGAAGACACUUUCCAUCAAUUUACGUAUCAAAAUAAAAAUAGAGUAAUAUAAUAGUUACAUUACACGUAAUUUAUUUAAUGGAAAGUGUGAAAUAUGAUUUUUGUUUUGAAAAGUUUUGAUGGAGAACCAUGGAGUUACCACAUCCGAGUUAAUAAGAUUGAAGAAGAUAGAACUUUGAUUAGAACAUUCAUUUCUAAGAGACUUUUCUUCAUUUUCUUAAUUUUGUAAAUUUGUAAUUUGGUAAUUUUGUGUAGGAUUUAAUUAGACUUGUAUUUGGGAUUUAUUUGGACUUGUACUUGGACCAUGUAUUGAACUUAUUUUCAUGGAUCAUAUAUAUUGGAUGAAUUAGAGUAUGAUGUAAAUAGAAAAAUAAAGUCUAGCUAAAGUUACAAUUGAAUUUCUUUAAUCCAAUGCAGCUCUAGACCAUUUAGGGUGAACAAAUAAAUAAAUAGAGUGCAAAUAUAAAGCAUGAAGUGAAAAAUAAGGCAUGAAGGUUCACAUGGCAUCCUUUUAAUAGAAAGGAUUUUCACCAACUAAGAAUGGUCACUUGCCAACCUCUAAUUUAAAAAUAUUUGCUCCAAUGAGAGAAAGCCUACACUUGUCAAGUUGAGUGAAGAGUUUUUAGAUUAAUUUUUUCUGAAUUUUGGCACACUGUAAAUAAAAGUGUCAACUCUCUUGUAAAGGAUUAAAAUUGAAAAGAAAUUUACUCACUUUGUUUUAGCACUAGUUUUGUGUUUAGCUUAGAAUUACUUAGGAAUUGGCCUCAUCUCUUCUAAGUCUCUAUAUUCACUAACCAAAUUUAUCUUCUUCAUUCAAUUUUCUUCAUCCAUUUAACCCAAUCAGACAUCUAUCAAAUCAUAACAUAUGAAAAAUUACAAAGAACUAUGUUUAUUAAGUUUCUUCAUUGACUUUCAUCUUACAAAACUUGUAAAGGUUAAACAAUUCUAUAAUGUUUUCUUCCUUCCUUUCUUCCUUGUGGUAACUCCAAACGAAAGUCAUAUUUUGAUAUCUCUAUCUAAUAAACAACCACUUACAAGUCAUGCAGUUGGUCAUUGAGCUGAAAAGAAAGAUAAAUAUAAAAUAUGUAGAUGGAAGAAAGAAUCACUAGUUUCCUUUCUUUUUUAUACGUAGAGGAAGGGAAGAAACAUGGUUUCCUUUCUUAUUUUAAAUAUUGGAAUUCUUUAUUUGGCAAGUUAGCAUGUUACUUUAUUUUGUUAGUGUAGAUGUUUAAUUGGUUAUUUAUAAGUUUGAUUUUACAUAAGAUUCCCCUUUAGAUCAAUCUGUUUGAAAUUCGUGGAAAAAAGUCACCCAUUUAAAUCCAUAUAUAGUAUAUGGCAGAUUCAUGAAGACCUAAUCCAACCUGGUUUUAACCAUACCUAUAAUCACAUCUAAAAUUUCAAUGUUUAAGCUGUCCAAAUGACCUAAAACGGUAGGUUUAAACACAACAACAAACCACUAUAAGGCAUCACAGAAACACUAAACAGAAAUAGAGGUUAAACGAGAAUAUAUUUUGGGUUCACUUACAAUUUAUUAAUAUUGUGGAGUUGCUCUUGUAAGAUGUUGGUGAACUUAUUCAUGUGAGUCCUUUCAAGAGCCAAUCCAACCUCAAUUCCUCUUUUUUCGUCUCUACAUUCAGAAAGAGAA
rnacentral:lncRNA from 1 species